rfam:Ophiophagus hannah scaffold5240.1, whole genome shotgun sequence.
GGCAGAUCAUGAUGGGAUCACCCGAAAGGAGGAAGGCACCUGGAUGAUUCCUGAUGUCUCUCUGCC